GACAUAAUAAAGUCUGUACCAGAGU
rnacentral:piRNA from 1 species